rnacentral:piRNA from 1 species
CAGACUCUUUUUGCAUCUUGUUUAAAGAAU